rnacentral:rRNA from 1 species
CACGAACGCUGGCGGCAGGCUUAACACAUGCAAGUCGAGCGCCCCGCAAGGGGAGCGGCAGACGGGUGAGUAACGCGUGGGAAUCUACCCAUCUCUACGGAAUAACGCAUGGAAACGUGUGCUAAUACCGUAUACGUCUUUCGGGAGAAAGAUUUAUCGGAGAUGGAUGAGCCCGCGUUGGAUUAGCUAGUUGGUGAGGUAACGGCUCACCAAGGCGACGACGCGUAGCCGGACUGAGAGGUUGGCCGGCCACAUUGGGACUGAGACACUGCCCAGACUCCUACGGGGGGCUGCAGUGACGAAUCUUCCGCAAUGUACGAAAGUAUGACGGAGCGACGCCGCGUGUGGGACGAAGCCCUUCGGGGUGUAAACCACUGUCAGGGGUUAGAAAGUUCUGAUCAACACCAGAGGAAGGGACGGCUAACUCUGUGCCAGCCGCCGCCGUAAUAC